rnacentral:rRNA from 1 species
UACAGAGGUCUCAAGCGUUGUUCGGAUUCAUUGGGCGUAAAGGGUGCGUAGGUGGCGGGGUAAGUCUGGUGUGAAAUCUCGGGGCCCAACCCCGAAACUGCACUGGAUACUGCCUUGCUCGAGUACUGGAGAGGAGAUUGGAAUUUACGGUGUAGCAGUGAAAUGCGUAGAUAUCGUAAGGAAGACCAGUGGCGAAGGCGAAUCUCUGGACAGUUACUGACACUGAGGCACGAAGGCCAGGGGAGCAAACGGG